GACGAACGCUGGCGGCGUGCCUAAUACAUGCAAGUUGAGCGCUGAAGGUUGGUACUUGUACCGACUGGAUGAGCAGCGAACGGGUGAGUAACGCGUGGGGAAUCUGCCUUUGAGCGGGGGACAACAUUUGGAAACGAAUGCUAAUACCGCAUAAAAACUUUAAACACAAGUUUUAAGUUUGAAAGAUGCAAUUGCAUCACUCAAAGAUGAUCCCGCGUUGUAUUAGCUAGUUGGUGAGGUAAAGGCUCACCAAGGCGAUGAUACAUAGCCGACCGGAGAGGGUGAGCGGCCACAUUGGGAGUGAGACACGGCCCAAACUCCUACGGGAGGCAGCAGUAGGGAAUCUUCGGCAAGGGACGAAAGUCUGACCGAGCAACGCCGCGGGAGGGAAGAAGGUUGUCGGAUCGUAAAACUCUGUUGGUAGAGAAGAACGUUGGUGAGAGUGGAAAGCUCAUCAAGUGACGGUAACUACCCAGAAAGGGACGGCUAACUACGUG
rnacentral:rRNA from 1 species